ensembl:lncRNA
GUCGGGAGAUAAACUGCAAGUUAGUCUCUGGCAAACUUUAUACUUAUUGACUAUGAGCUGGAUUGUGUUUUGAAUAAGCAGGAAAGAAUGAAGAUAGGAUCCUGCUGCCCAAGCACCGUUUUGUAUCAGCGCUGAUCGAGUUACAGCAGUGUAGAAACUAUGCAGCAAGGGGACCAUCCUCUCCCUUUGGAGCUGACCCCCAUGUUUUUUUGCAAACCUGAGUGGGACAAGACUUGCAGUUACAAUGUGCAGGAACAUUUUUUAAUGCAACUCCCAGAAACACAGUUAAUUUUUGCAGUGAAGUGGAG